AGAGUUUGAUCAUGGCUCAGGACGAACGCUGGCGGCGUGCUUAACACAUGCAAGUCACGGGGGCUCGCAAGAGCAACCGGCGAACGGGUGCGUAACACGUGAGCAACCUACCGAUUUCUGGGGGAUAGCCGGCCCAACGGCCGGGUAAUACCGCAUACGUUCAGUUGGGGACAUCCUCGACUGAAGAAACCUCCGGGGGAGAUCGAGGGGCUCGCGGCCUAUCAGCUAGUUGGCGGUGUAACGGACCACCAAGGCGACGACGGGUAGCUGGUCUGAGAGGAUGGCCAGCCACAUUGGGACUGAGAGACGGCCCAGACUCCUACGGGAGGCAGCAGUGGGGAAUCUUGCGCAAUGGCCGAAAGGCUGACGCAGCGACGCCGCGUGUGGGAUGAAGCAUUUCGGUGUGUAAACCACUGUUGCCCGGGACGAACAGCGCUUUUCGAGGCGCCUGACGGUACCGGGUGAGGAAGCACCGGCUAACUCCGUGCCAGCCGCCGCGGUAAUUC
rnacentral:rRNA from 1 species